UACGUAGGGACCGAGCGUUGUCCGGAUUCAUUGGGCGUAAAGAGCUCGUAGGCGGCCACUCAAGUCGAAUGUGAAACCUCGAGGCUUAACCUCGAGCCUGCAUUCGAUACUGGGCGGCUAGAGUCUGGUAGGGGGAUCUGGAAUUCCUGGUGCAGCGGUGGAAUGCGCAGAUAUCAGGGGGAACACCGGUGGCGAAGGCGGGAUCCUGGGCCAGUACUGACGCUGAGGAGCGAAAGCGUGGGGAGCAAACAGG
rnacentral:rRNA from 1 species